GGUGAACGCCGGCGGUGUGCCUAAUACAUGCAAGUCGUACGCACUGGCCCAACUGAUUGAUGGUGCUUGCACCUGAUUGACGAUGGAUCACCAGUGAGUGGCGGACGGGUGAGUAACACGUAGGUAACCUGCCCCGGAGCGGGGGAUAAUUUCUGGAAACGGAAACUAAAACCGGAUAGGUAGGGAUCUCGCAUGAGGACCUUAUUAAAGGGGCUACGGCCCUGAACAUGGAUGGACCUGCGGUGCAUUAGCUAGUUGGUGGGAUAACGGCCUACCAAGGCGACGAUGCAUAGCCGACCUGAGAGGGCGAACGGCCACAUUGGGACUGAGACACGGCCCAA
rnacentral:rRNA from 1 species